AAAGAAAGAAGAAAAGGAGAUGGCACAGCAGUUUAUUAAGUGGAUGGUGAAAGGCAACAGGUGUGAGGAUGGUGGAUCAAGAAAGACAGGGGAAGGCAACAGUGGAGAAGAACACAGCUACACAGGCAAGGAGUGAAUGAGACAGACAUGAGGUUGCCGAUGGCAUCAAGUAGAGAUGAGACAAGUGAUGACAUCAGGUAGGAGUUCUAUUAGACCAAACAAAACUAAAUGUCCUGUUCAA